GUUAGAGAGGUGUCUCAUUAAGUAAUCACCUAUGCUAACAAUCUAUUGUUUGUAAUUACAAACUUGACACCUACUCUGAGAGCAAUCCUGAAUGAGUUCUCACACUUAAGGAGCUAUUUACAACCUUAACAUUAACUGUUCAAAACUGUAAAUUAUCAAUAUCGUUACCCCAUGAGUUCACAUGGAGAGGAUGGAGGGAACCCAUUCCAUUGCUGCCCCACCUGUAUGCAAUACUUGGGGAUUUGACUCACUCAGGACCUCUCAGCAUUAUUCCAGACACAUUUUUCCUUCACCCUCUCCUCAGUAGAGGCAGGUCUGAAUAAAUGGGACUAUCAAUGCAUUUAAUGGCUAGAACGGAUCAAUGCUGUUAAAUUGUCAGCUGCUCCCACUCUUACUAUUCCUAUUUAAAACUAUUGCGAUCACAAUCCACCCGUUCUACUUCAAACAGCUCAGGAGGGCUAUCAGAGAUUUUGUAUGACAACGUAAACUUCCGCAUCUGACAUACUUACAAUUGGUGUUACCUGAUUUUAAGUAGUAAAAUGUGGUGGCACACCUUUCCCAGGUUCUUCACUGGAGCCAUGGUGGCACAACCAAACUCUGGGUCUCAUUGAAGAGGACACUCAUUUCAGUUGAUCUGGCGGCUCUUCAAUGGCUCUGGGCCAAAUGCAGAAGAUGACUUGCCAAUCCUAACCCAUAUGUUCUAACGAUAGUGUCGUUCAGGCAUCGGUGGGGCCACAGAUCCGAUCCCAAUGUUACCUCUAUGUGAUAACCCAGAUUUUCCUAUCGGGAUACAUAGACUAUUACUAAAGCAGGAAUGGUGUGGUGGGAUUCACAAUCUGUGAUGCCUCUGUCAGAUGUUUCCAAACACAAGAUGUUCC